GUGCUUGCUUUGGCAGCAUAUAUACUAAAAUUGGAAUGAUACAGAGGAGAUUAUAAUGGCCUCUGAGCAAGGAUGACACACAAAUUUGUGAAGCAUUCUAUAUUUUU